AUUGAACGGUGGCGGAAUGCUUUACACAUGCAAGUCGAACGGCAGCACGGAGAGCUUGCUCUCUGGUGGCGAGUGGCGAACGGGUGAGUAAUAUAUCGGAACGUGUCCAAUAAUGGGGGAUAACGAGUCGAAAGAUUCGCUAAUACCGCAUACGCCCUACGGGGGAAAGCAGGGGAUCGUAAGACCUUGCGUUAAUGGAGCGGCCGAUAUCUGAUUAGCUUGUUGGUGAGGUAAAGGCUCACCAAGGCGACGAUCAGUAGCUGGUUUGAGAGAACGACCAGCCACACUGGAACUGAGACACGGUCCAGACUCCUACGGGAGGCAGCAGUGGGGAAUUUUGGACAAUGGGGGCAACCCUGAUCCAGCCAUUCCGCGUGAGUGAAGAAGGCCUUCGGGUUGUAAAGCUCUUUCGCAAGGGAAGAAAACUUAUGAUCGAAUAAAUCAUGAGGUUGACGGUACCUUGAUAAGAAGCACCGGCUAACUACGUGCCAGCAGCCGCGGUAAUACGUAGGGUGCGAGCGUUAAUCGGAAUUACUGGGCGUAAAGCGUGCGCAGGCGGUUUUGUAAGUCGGAUGUGAAAUCCCCGGGCUCAACCUGGGAACUGCGUUCGAAACUGCAAGGCUAGAGUGUGUCAGAGGGGGGUAGAAUUUCCACGUGUAGCAGUGAAAUGCGUAGAGAUGUGGAGGAAUACCAAUGGCGAAGGCAGCCCCCUGGGAUAACAC
rnacentral:rRNA from 1 species